rnacentral:pre_miRNA from 1 species
CGUGUACUCCCUCCGUCCGAAAAUACUUGUCAUCAAAAUGGACAAAAAAGGAUGUAUCUAAAACUAAAAUACAUCUAGAUACAUCCCCUUUUAUUCAUUUUGAUGACAAGUAUUUCCGGACGGAGGGAGUACAUU